GCUUGUUUGGCAAACAGAGGAGGAUUUACCCGUUACUGACUUGGUUGUGAUGCUGUGGUAACUUUGCUGUUUGACCCCGGGUAUCAUUUUACCCUUAUAAUGGUCAGUCUGUGCCUUACUUAGUCUAACGAUCAUUUGGAAUAAAUCGAUGAAUGUGAACUUCAUUUCAUUUUGUCAUUUGUUUCUUCGUCAGUUUCAUUAGGUGACUUUAAUAACACUUAAAAAUCAAAUAUCCCCUACUUUUUUUGAAUAGUAUAUUAUAUCUAUGACCCUUUUAGUUUCUGGUGAUAUUGAAAGCAAUCCUGGCCCUCCCCGCAACUACCGAACAUAAAUUGGCAACCUAUUAGUCUAGCGGCAGAUUCGACCGAUCAAGCUGGACCGAACACAAAUUGGCAACCUAUUCGCCUAGCUGCAGAUUCGCCCGAUCAAACUGGCAACCAGACCUGUCAACUCUACCGCAUCACGCGGUAAAGUGCCGCGAAAAGGCCUCAUGUACCGCUCUACUGCGGGGUAAUAGAUUUCUACCGCAUUUUUAAACAGUUUUUUAAUUUUCUCGCCCAAACUAUGGAACUAAGGGAAGCAACUCUUUGCAUGUAAACAAUAAAGAUCGCGACCAUAGAUAUCCUAUUAAAGACUAGAUCGACAUGACGUCACGGACAGACAGCAUUCCCCGCCGCCAUAUUGGACAAAUGAGCUGUCAAAAUAUGGCGUCCAAUGGCAAUGGAACUGUCAAAGAAUACAAAGGGACAGGGUGUUACGCAUAUAAUUGCUACAAUUAUCGAAAUCAAUUCACUAAAUUACAGGGAUUAUCAUUUCACAAGUAAGUAACUAUACUUAUUCAAAUUUUAUAGCAAUUAGAUCUAGUUUAAUAAUAAUCUUGAUGGGCCAAGCCGAACAUAGUCUGCUGUCAUACUCUAGCCUGGUGGACCUAUAUAGAAAUGGAUCGAAGAUGUUUAUGUAAGGCCGAAGUUCUGAAUCAUAUAGGCCUAGGAUCAGUUUGAAACUUCGGACAACCAACACAUGUAUCUAUCGAUGAAGUUACGCUUCACAGAACAGGGUUAGCGAAGUAUAGAGUGUAGGCCUAAGGCCUAUCAAUCUGCAUGAUUGACAUACUUAUUCAACCAGCGGUACUUUAUGUUAUGAGGAUUUUUGCAGUGUCUAUACAAUUAAGUUUUAUAAACAAAUGUUUUAUUCCAGAUUUCCAGACAAGAAAAAACAUCCUGUAAAUUUUAAAACUUGGAUGACUUAUUGUCGUUGGGAACGUGAGGCAGGUUCUGGAUCUGUUCUAUGUAGUGACCACUUCACAGAGGAUAAUUUUGACCGCACUGGGCAAAUCGUCCGAUUGAGGGAUGGGGCUAUGCCCACCCUUUUUAAUAUUCCAGCUCAUCUUCAGAUUCCAAUAGUAAAUGAAAGGAAAACUGAAAAUUCGUUGCAGGUGAGAGAAUACACAAAGGCCACAAAAGAUUUCCAAGAAGAAACUGUCCCAAGCAUGAAGCCUGAUGAACAUGUAGAAUCAGAUCACAAUUAUUCAGUAUCUCCAAUGAAGUGGAAACGUAAACUGUAUGCCACAAGAAAAGUUAGAUGACACGACGAAAAAAUUUAAAAAUGCGGUUAAAAGGGAGCAGAGAGCCAAAACAUCUUGCAAGAAACAAACAGAUAAGCUGUAUGCAGAAAACCAUAUCAACAUUGAACUGAAAACAAAAUUAGACUCCUUUGGGGUUGCUGUCUCAUGUUAGAUGCUAUGUCCAUCAGAAAACAAGUGGAUUACAACCAACACAAUGGCCAUUUCACGGGGUAUGUUUAUUUAGGUUAUGGAGAAGAUGAAGAGGUUGAAGCCAAAGAAGUAUUGGUAUUUAUGGUUGUGGGAAUUGGAAAGCUCCUGUUGGAUACUUUUUUACAGGCGGUUUAUCUGCAGAAACACAAAAACAACUGGUCACUCAUUGUCUUAAAAAAAAUAAUGUAUAUUUGUAAAGCGCCAAUCCAUCCACAAAUGCAUGCUCUAGACGCGUACUAUGUACUCUAUGGUUACUAUUUACACACAAAUCCUGAUCCACUCCAACUAAAACGCAGUGGUAAAUAGAUGAGUUUUUAAUUUUGUUUUAAAAGAUUCAAGUGAUGGAGUUGUUUUGAGAUGAUGGGGUAAGGAAUUCCACAAAAAGGGUGCACUGUACUGGAAUGUUCUAGAACCGAAAGUUUGUAGAUUGUACUUUGGAAUGCGUAAUAAGCACAUAUCUUGUGAUCUUAAGUUACGGGAUGGUAUGUAAUGGUUUAUUAGCUCUGAUAGAUUUGCAGGACUGGAACCGUGAAGACAUCUAUAAACAAUACAAAGAAGUUUGUAGUCAAUUCGGGAGUAAAAUUGGUAACCAGUGUAGUUCCUUCAAUAUGGGUUUAAUGUGAGAUCGUCGGGAUGAUUGACUAACUAUCCUGGCAGCAUUGUUUUGGGUAACUUGAAGUUUAGAGAGUAGAUUUUGGUAACUUGAAGUUUAGAGACCGAUAAGGAUACUAUUACAGUAAUCCAAUCGUGAAAACACUAAAGAUCGGACAAGUGUGUGAGUAGCAUCUUUUGUUAGCAGGUGUCUGAUAUAACUGAUGGAUUUCAGAUGAAAAUAACAGAUUUUGCACAGAUUGGUUACAUGAGCUUCCAUUGUUAGGCUUGAAUCUAAAAAGACACCAAGAUUUUUAACCCUAUCUUGAGUUAUUAUUUCUGAGUCAGCAAUAAUUAAUGUUGAGGAAUCAAGUUUCUGCAGAUUAUGUCUUGUACCCACGAUCAUUACUUCCGUUUUAUCAUCAUUUAGUUUAAGCAUGCUUGAGGUCAUCCAGGUUUUAAUUUGCUGUGUGCAUUUUUCUGUUUUAAGAAAGGAAUCUGUUUUACUCUCUGGUGGAAAAAUAUCUAUGACUUGCGUAUCAUCAGCAUACGAAUGGUGCGAAAGAUUGUGAUUUUCAAUUAUAGAGGCUAGUUGGCUGCUGUAGAGCACAAAGAGAACAGGACCGAGCACCGAUCCUUGGGGGACACCACAGUUCAAGGAAGUUUUGUCUGAUAACUCAUCACCGAUUAGAACUGACUGGGUCCGAUCUUUUAGAUACGACCUAAACCAGUUUAUGGGCAUGUCUACAACCCCACAGCAUUUGGAUAGAUUUUGGAGAAGUCUCUUGUGAUCUAUAGUGUCAAAUGCUGCCGACAGGUCCAGCAUUACUAGUGAGGCAAUGUUAUCACUAUCAACAGCUCCACGCAAAUUGUUAACCACUCUGAGUAAGGCAGUUUCGGUACUAUGAUUUUGGCGAUAGGCAGAUUGAAAUUUAUCAAGUUAUGAAUUUGUAGCCAAAUGUUCCUUUAACCUUAUGCUUACAGCCUUCUCUAGAACCUUGGAUAGAAAAGGAAGAUUGGACACUGGGCGGAAAUUCUUGAGCACAUCCUGAUCAAAGCUGUCAUUUUUAUACGCCCACAUUGAAAUGUGGUCGUAUAUUGUCGUCACCCCCGUCCGUCCGUCCGUCCGUCCGGCCGUCCGGCGUCCACAAUUGCUUGUGGACGCUCUAGAGGCUAAAGUUAAUAUCCGAUUUCAGAUAAUUACUGCCAGUUAUGGUCCUUGAUCACUUUCGAAAAUUUUGUGGACGCUCUAGAAGCCAAAGUUAAUAUCCGAUUGACUUUAAAUUUAUACACAGUGUUUAAUGUCAUGAGACGAAGAAGCCUAUUGAUUUUUAGCGAUUUCCGAUAAUUACUGCCAGAGAUAUGGCCCUUGAUCCAUUUGAAAAAUCUUGUGGACGCUCUAGAGGCUAAAGUUAAUAUCCGAUUGACUUUAAAUUUAUACACAGUGUUUAAGGUCAUGAGACGAAGAAGCCUAUUGAUUUUCAGCGAUUUCCGAUAAUUACUGCCAGAGUUAUGGCCCUUGAUCACUUCAAAAAAUCUUGUGGACGCUCUAGGGGCUAAAGAUAAUAUCCGAUUGACUUUAAAUUUAUAUACAGUGUUUAAGGCCAGAGUUAUGGCCCUUGGUCACUUCAAAAAAUCUUGUGGACGCUCUAGGGGCUAAAGUUAAUAUCCGAUUGACUUUAAAUUUAUAUACAGUGUUUAAGGCCAUGAGACGAAGAAGCCUAUUCAUUUUAAGCGAUUUCCAAUAAUUACUGUCAGAGUUAUGGCCCUUGAUCACUUCAAAAAAUCUUGUGGACGCUCUAGAGGCUAAAGUUAAUAUCCAAUUGACUUUAAAUUUAUACACAGUGUUUAAGGUCAUGAGACGAAGAAGCCUAUUGAUUUUCAGCGAUUUCUGAUAAUUACUGCCAGAGUUAUGGCCCUUGAUCACUUCAAAAAAUCUUGUGGAUGCUCUAGAGGCUAAAGUUAAUAUCCGAUUUACUUUAAAUUUAUACACAGUGUUUAAGGUCAUGAGACGAAGAAGCCUAUUGAUUUUCAGCGAUUUCUGAUAAUUACUGCCAGAGUUAUGGCCCUUGGUCACUUCAAAAAAUCUUGUGGACGCUCUAGAGGCUAAAGUUAAUAUCCGAUCUACUUUAAAUUUAUACACAGUGUUUAAGGUCAUGAGAGACGAAGAAGCCUAUUGAUUUUCAGCGAUUUCAGAUAAUUACUGCCAGAGUUAUGGUCCUUGAUCACUUUCGAAAAUUUUGUGGACGCUCUAGAAGCCAAAGUUAAUAUCCGAUUGACUUUAAAUUUAUACACAGUGUUUAAUGUCAUGAGACGAAGAAGCCUAUUGAUUUUUAGCGAUUUCCGGUAAUUACUGCCAGAGAUAUGGCCCUUGAUCCCUUUGAAAAAUCUUGUGGACGCUCUAGAGGCUAAAGUUAAUAUCCGAUUGACUUUAAAUUUAUACACAGUGUUUAAUGUCAUGAGACGAAGAAGCCUAUUGAUUUUCGGCGAUUUCUGAUAAGUUCUGCCAGAGUUAUGACCCUUGAUCACUUUGAAAAAUCUUCUGACGCUCUAGAGGCUAAAGUUAUCAUCCGAUUGACUUCAGAUUGAUACACAGAGUUUAAGGUCUUGAGACGAACAAUUAUAUUGAUUUUCAAUGAAUGUUUAUGACUUGAGCAACUAAAUCCAUGAUGUUAAAAGUUUUCUAUACUAAACAUUAGCAUGGGGCAGAACUUUAUAAAAACCAAACAAAUUCUAAUGGUUUUCUGAUAAUUACUUAAUUAGAAGUAAAAAUAUGCGACAACUCUUGUUGACUCCCCGGACGAUUUAGCUGCUGUGUGCGUAUGUUUCGUUGCCUGGCAACCUAUCUUUAAGAAGCGGAAGAACCACAGCUGAUUUGAAUUUUGCUGGAAAUACACCAGUAGCAAGGUUGUUAUUUAUCAACAGAGUGAUAAAAGGUAUAAGUUGAUCCAGAAGUUGAAAUAUUAAAGGAGUGGGAAUUGGAUCAGUAAGACAAGUUGUAGGUUUAGACGACUUGAUGAUUUCUUCUCUUAUUUCCUUUUCACUGAAAGGCCUGAAACACUCUAACUGCUGGCCGCUGAAGAAUUUGAAUUCCGACUCAUUGUCUGUGUUAUUUGUGGAUGAUUUAAGCCCAUGACGAAUUUUCUCUAUCUUAUCGAGGAAGAAGCUAUUAAAUCUAUUUGCAAGAUUUAAGUUAGAAUCUGUAUUGGGAAGUUUAGAUUCUUUGGGACAACCAAGAAGUGAUUUUAGAAAAUGGUGUAUUUUUCGAGGAUCCUUGUAGCAGUUCUGAAUGUAUGUUUGACAAUGCAAUCGCUUAGCGUGCUGGAUGGCUUUCAAUGAGUUCAAUUUCGAUUCAUGGUGAAUUUGACGAUGAAUUUCUAGAUUUGUCUGACGCCAUUUCCGUUCCGCUCGUCUACGUACACAUUUUGACUGUUGGACAUCACUGUUAUACCACGGUGCAUUUCGUAUGGUAAUUGUUUUAGAGACAGUAGGUGCAUGUUUAUCUAGCAAUUCAAGGAGAGUGUUAUUGUAGAGGUCUACUUGUUCAUCAACAUCAGUCAAGGGUUCUAACACAAGCUUAGAUCUGCACAAAUCAGUUUUCAAAAAAUCCCAAUUAAUCCCUUUAAUAUUCCUACAAAUAAUACUUUUUUGUGGAUUACGAGAUUUACACAAAUUUAAGUUAACAGUAAUAAGGAAGUGGUCAGAUAUUUGCCUAUCUUCAACUUGUAUAUCUUGCACCAAAGAGGAAUCACAGGGAGUAAUUACCCAGCCCAAAGUGUUUCCUGACUUGUGGGUUGCUUGGUCUAUGUGUUGAUUAUAUCCUGUAUGAUCAAGCAGAGAUAACACUUUUUUUUAAUCAUGCUUGUUUAAAUUAUUGAGCUGAACAUUAAAAUCGCCAAGUAUCAAUGUAUUUAUUUUAGAAUGUACAGACAAAAGAGAAGAGAAUUCUGUGUGGAAAUCUGACGUAGAAAGUUUAUUUCUAGAAGAAGGUGGUGGUCUAAAUACAGAUGAGUGUAAAACAUUUGGUUGUUGUGGUGAUUCGCAGAGAUAGUUGUUCAAACGUUUUGGCUUGGACUCUGUCCUUUGUGGUCUCAACUUUGAUAGAACGUUUAUGAAUAAGGGCUAUUCCCCCACCAGUUGUGUUGGAUCUUGCAAGGUGGAUACAUGUAUAAGACAGAGGUGUCAUGGCAGCAAUAUGAGAUUCAUCACCAUAUGGCCUAAGCCAUGAUUCUGUGAUAACAAGAAUAUCUUGGUCAUUUUCAAUAAUCAGAUCAAAGAUUUCUGUAGUCUUAUUACGGCAUGAUUGUGUGUUCCAAAGUUCUAUUUUAAAACAUUUGGGUUGAUAGGCAGAUUUUAGUUUGUGAACAUGCACAUUUUCCUCAUCUGUAAUUUGUGUAUUUACAGGGGGGAGGGGGGUAUUUAUCCUAUGCUUCUUUUUGGUUCCAGAUGCACAUCCACAUCUUGUAGGUUUGAACUUUUUUAUACUCAGCCAAAUUAAAAACUUGACGCUUGGGAUUUUUGGGACUAGAUUUUCAAUAUUUGGUUUAAGGCAACUAUUUUAGUGUUAUGUUGUGCACAGACGACCUUGACAUCAACAGAAAGCAAGAAUACGUCUCACCGAAAGUCCUUGACAUUGAUAACGUUCGUGAUGUCACAAUACCCCCCAAAAUG